GCUUAACACAUGCAAGUCGAGGGGCAUCAGGAAUAAAGCUUGCUUUCUUUGCUGGCGACCGGCGCACGGGUGAGUAACACGUAUCCAACCUGCCCUUUACUCGGGGAUAGCCUUUCGAAAGAAAGAUUAAUACCCGAUAGCAUAAUGAUUCCGCAUGGUUUCAUUAUUAAAGGAUUCCGGUAAAGGAUGGGGAUGCGUUCCAUUAGGUUGUUGGUGAGGUAACGGCCCACCAAGCCUUCGAUGGAUAGGGGUUCUGAGAGGAAGGUCCCCCACAUUGGAACUGAGACACGGUCCAAACUCCUACGGGAGGCAGCAGUGAGGAAUAUUGGUCAAUGGGCGCUAGCCUGAACCAGCCAAGUAGCGUGAAGGAUGAAGGCUCUAUGGGUCGUAAACUUCUUUUAUGUAAGAAUAAAGUGCAGUAUGUAUACUGUUUUGUAUGUAUUAUAUGAAUAAGGAUCGGCUAACUCCGUGCCAGCAGCCGCGGUAAUACGGAGGAUCCGAGCGUUAUCCGGAUUUAUUGGGUUUAAAGGGAGCGUAGGUGGACUGGUAAGUCAGUUGUGAAAGUUUGCGGCUCAACCGUAAAAUUGCAGUUGAUACUGUCAGUCUUGAGUACAGUAGAGGUGGGCGGAAUUCGUGGUGUAGCGGUGAAAUGCUUAGAUAUCACGAAGAACUCCGAUUGCGAAGGCAGCUCACUGGACUGCAACUGACACUGAUGCUCGAAAGUGUGGGUAUCAAACAGGAUUAGAUACCCUGGUAGUCCACACAGUAAACGAUGAAUACUCGCUGUUUGCGAUAUACAGUAAGCGGCCAAGCGAAAGCAUUAAGUAUUCCACCUGGGGAGUACGCCGGCAACGGUGAAACUCAAAGGAAUUGACGGGGGCCCGCACAAGCGGAGGAACAUGUGGUUUAAUUCGAUGAUACGCGAGGAACCUUACCCGGGCUUAAAUUGCAGUGGAAUGAUGUGGAAACAUGUCAGUGAGCAAUCACCGCUGUGAAGGUGCUGCAUGGUUGUCGUCAGCUCGUGCCGUGAGGUGUCGGCUUAAGUGCCAUAACGAGCGCAACCCUUAUCUUUAGUUACUAACAGGUUAUGCUGAGGACUCUAGAGAGACUGCCGUCGUAAGAUGUGAGGGAGGUGGGGAUGACGUCAAAUCAGCACGGCCCUUACGUCCGGGGCUACGCACGUGUUACAAUGGGGGGUACAGAAGGCAGCUAGCGGGUGACCGUAUGCUAAUCCCAAAAUCCUCUCUCAGUUCGGAUCGAAGUCUGCAACCCGACUUCGUGAAGCUGGAUUCGCUAGUAAUCGCGCAUCAGCCACGGCGCGGCGAAUACGUUCCCGGGCCUUGUACACACCGCCCGUCAAGCCAUGGGAGCCGGGGGUACCUGAAGUACGUAACCGCAAGGAUCGUCCUAGGGUAAAACUGGUGACUGGGGCUAA
rnacentral:rRNA from 1 species